rnacentral:ncRNA from 1 species
UCUUCUGAAUCUUCAAUAAAAUAUUUUUUAAUUCAAGCUUUUGCAUCAAUUUUAUUAUUAAUUAUAUUAAUUAAUAAAUCAAUAUUUUUUUUAAUUAAUAGAAACUUUUUAUUAAUUAUUCCUUUAUUAAUCAAAUUAAGUUUAGAUUUAAUUAUUAAUUUAAAUAUAAACUAAAUAUGUUCCAGCAGUUGCGGUUAAACAUAUUAUAUAAACAAAAUAGUUUGGUGUAUAGUAUUAAAUAAAAAUUAAAUAAAUUAAUUUUUUUUAAGAGGUAAAAUUCAAUUUAAAAUUAUAUUUAUAAUUAUUUUAUUCUAUUAAAUUUUAUUUUAAACUAGGAUUAGAUACCCUAUUAUAAAAAUGUAAAUAUUAAAAUACUUAAAAAUUAUUAGUUAUGGUCUUUAAAUUUAAAAAAUUUGGCGGUAUUUUAGUCUUAUUAGAGGAACCUGUUAUGUAAUUGAUAAUCCACGAUUUAUUUUACUUAUUUUAAUUAAUUUAUAUAUCGCUGUCAUGAAUAUAUUUAAAAAUUAAUUUUCUUUUAUUAAUAUUAUAAUUUAUGUUAAGUCAAGAUGUAGUUUAUAAAUGAGUUAUAUAAUGGGUUACAUUAAAUUUAAUUUAUGGAUUUGAAAUGAAAAAUUAAAAGGAAAUUGAAUUUAAUAGUAAAUUUAUUUAUUUAAAUAAUAUGAAUAAAGAUCUAAAAUAUGUACAUAUUGCCCGUCAUUCUUAUUAAAGAUAAGACAAGUCGUAACAAAGUAAAUGUACUGGAAAGUGUAUUUAGAAAG